rnacentral:rRNA from 1 species
GGUCUGGCAAUUGGAAUGAGAACAAUUUAAAUCCCUUAUCGAGUAUCAAUUGGAGGGCAAGUCUGGUGCCAGCAGCCGCGGUAAUUCCAGCUCCAAUAGCGUAUAUUAAAGUUGUUGCAGUUAAAAAGCUCGUAGUUGGAUUUCUGGCGGGAGCGGCCGGUCGCGCACUCUGUGCGUGAACUUGUGCUGUCUCUGGCCAUCCUCGGGGAGAUCCUAUUUGGCAUUAAGUUGUCGGGUAGGGGAUACCCGUCGUUUACUGUGAAAAAAUUAGAGUGUUUAAAGCAGGCUUAUGCCGUUGAAUAUAUUAGCAUGGAAUAAUAAGAUAGGACCUCGGAACUAUUUUGUUGGUUUGCGCAUCAAGGUAAUGAUUAAUAGGGACAGUUGGGGGUAUUCGUAUUCAAUUGUCAGAGGUGAAAUUCUUGGAUUUCUGGAAGACGAACUACUGCGAAAGCAUUUACCAAGGAUGUUUUCACUAAUCAAGAACGAAAGUUGGGGGAUCGAAGAUGAUUAGAUACCAUCGUAGUCUCAACCAUAAACUAUGCCAACUAGGGAUUAGCGGUCGUUUGUUAGUGACUCCGUUAGCACCUUAU